ensembl:lncRNA
CAUACACAAACCAUAGUACUCCCUGCAAUUAUACUAAGAGGUGGGGACCUUCAGAGGUGAUUAACUCAUUAGAUGUCUUCCCUCAUGAGUGAGAUUAGUGUUUCUCUAAAAGAGGUUUGAAGGAACUUAUUUUGCCUUUUUACUAUGCAAGAUCAUAUAGAAGGGGCAAUCUAUGAGGAACAGGGGCGCACCAGACACCAAAUCUGGCACCUUGAUCUUGGAAUUCUCAGCCCCCAGCACUUCACUGUAACUUUAUUUUAGAGUCCUGCACUGCCCUGCCUAGGCUCUCCAGGGCCAUGGUGAGGAAAGCUCUUAAAAGGAAAAACAAAAGCUGAAUGACUUUGUUACCAGAUAGCAGCAUUUAACUAUGAGAAAAUAAGAAAAAACAAACAUGGAAAAUGAUCCAAGUGGAAACACAGAUUUUGAGAAAAACAAUCCCUUCAUGGAGGAAGGUCCCCGAAGUCUCUGCCCUGGUCCAAAGAAUACCCAGAAAGGUUUUCCUUUCUCUGGAGAGAUCCAGGCAUGGACAUUGAGAAUGCUGAUUAGGACUUGCUCCCUCCCCUCCACAACAGCAGUCAGUUCUUUAUUGAGUGAAAUGGAAAGGUGGCACUGUCUUCUUCAUCCUUGGAGCCUAAAAGAAGGAGAUGAGAUGAACAGGGAGAAAGCACAAAGACAGGCCCUCCAGCAUGGCUUCCUUUAGUGGUCAGUGCUAACCCACCAUGGAUCAGGACUUCCAGCACCUGGAGUCAAGAAACCUGGAAAACAACAACUUAGGGAAGACAAAGAGAAGAGCUCCGGGAAUUAAAAAAGAGCAGACAGAAAAGCUAGAAAUCACAGAGAAGUUGGAGAAACUGAAGAUAACACAGAGAAAAGAUUAAAGUAGUCUGAAACAUCCGUCCCACCUCCUGGGGGUGUGGGGCUGUCUUUAUAAACAGAAGGUAAGCCCAGGAAGAGUUGGCAGCCCCAGCAAUAAAUAACAGACUGGCAGUGUUAGCCCCCAGAGAAGCCCACAGUAAGCUGCAAAUACAGGGUGGGUCUUACUCUGAAAGUGGCUCCUUCCACAUGGCACUCUAGAGUUGGAAAAGAAAUACAGUACAACACCCACUAUAUUUGGGAAAAUGUGGUAUAUAUACACAAUGGAGUACUACUCAGCCACAAAGAAAAAUAAAUGCCAAUCACUUGUAGAAAAAUGCAUGUACCUUGAGACCAUAGCGCUAAGUGAAAUAAAUUAGACACCAAAGGUUAAAUGGCAUAUGUUUUUUAUAUGAGAAAUCCAAAGUAUAAAUAAUUGAAAUAUCAAAAUAAAAGGUAGAUGAUAGUAAACAGAGAGAUAGACUUUGUG